UACGGGGGGGGGCAAGCGUUGUUCGGAAUUACUGGGCGUAAAGGGCGCGUAGGCGGCCUUUCAAGUGACGGGUGAAAUCCCUCGGCUUAACCGAGGAACUGCCUGUCAGACUGGGAGGCUUGAGACCGGGAGAGGUGAGUGGAAUUCCCGGUGUAGUGGUGGAAUGCGUAGAUAUCGGGAGGAACACCAGUGGCGAAGGCGGUUACCUGGAGCUUUGCUGACGCUGAUGCGCGAAAGCGUGGGGAGCGAUCCGG
rnacentral:rRNA from 1 species